CAGAGUUGCAAAACUCCCACAAACCAUCGCGAAUCGUUACCCAGUACGGUGCCGGGUGGCGGUCGGAGGCCGGGCCCGGCUCGGUCUCCGCUCGGGGGGGGAGCUGCGAACCAAACUCUUGCUAUUUAUUCGUCCUCUCUGAGUAAUAUUUUUAAAUAAGUCA
rnacentral:misc_RNA from 1 species